GGCAAAGUCAUUCGGUUCUCCACAAAGAGCUAGCGUGUGAGGAGGUUUCGCUUAUCGCGGAAGACUGACCGUUUGAAGGAAGAUAUCUAAAGAGAAGACUAAACGCGUCCUGCUUUUCUGUUGUAUUAAAAAAAAAAGCCAUGGAGGCGAAGCUUGGGGCAUGUUUGGUCGUGAUGUUGGUUAUUUUGGGGACUGUAACCGUACAAGGAGCAAUACCAAGACACGAGACGUUUGCCAGGCGACCUGACUCGCCCCGUGAGGAUGAGGGCAAGAGAUCCGCUCGUCAGAGGUGUCCCCCUCCUUUAAAACCCUGCGGUGAAGCCGGCUGCUGUGAACGAUUUCGCAAAUGAUGGCGGCAAUGAUGUCUCAUCAAUGGAAUGACGGCCUUAACUUAGUAACAAAAUGAUUAGUUGGUAAAAUAAGGCUUGAAGAAGUAACUGAGUAAAUGUGGGUAAUGAGUAAAUGCGGAUAAACUUAAAACUUUAACGAAAAUGUAACAAGGCGAUAAAUAAAGGCUUAAUCAUUCAAAAACA